AGCUAGUUGGUGAGGUAACGGCCCACCAAGGCGACGAUCGGUAGCCGGACUGAGAGGUUGAACGGCCACAUUGGGACUGAGACACGGCCCAGACUCCUACGGGAGGCAGCAGUGGGGAAUAUUGCACAAUGGGGGAAACCCUGAUGCAGCGACGCCGCGUGGAGGAAGAAGGUCUUCGGAUUGUAAACUCCUGUUGUUGAGGAAGAUAAUGACGGUACUCAACAAGGAAGUGACGGCUAACUACGUGCCAGCAGCCGCGGUAAAACGUAGGUCACAAGCGUUGUCCGGAAUUACUGGGUGUAAAGGGAGCGCAGGCGGGAAGACAAGUUGGAAGUGAAAUCCAUGGGCUUAACCCAUGAACUGCUUUCAAAACUGUUUUUCUUGAGUAGUGCAGAGGUAGGCGGAAUUCCCGGUGUAGCGGUGGAAUGCGUAGAUAUCGGGAGGAACACCAGUGGCGAAGGCGGCCUACUGGGCACCAACUGACGCUGAGGCUCGAAAGUGUGGGUAGCAAACAGGAUUAGAUACCCUGGUAGUCCACACCGUAAACGAUGAUUACUAGGUGUUGGAGGAUUGACCCCUUCAGUGCCGCAGUUAACACAAUAAGUAAUCCACCUGGGGAGUACGACCGCAAGGUUGAAACUCAAAGGAAUUGACGGGGGCCCGCACAAGCAGUGGAGUAUGUGGUUUAAUUCGACGCAACGCGAAGAACCUUACCAAGUCUUGACAUCCUGUGACAGACGUAGAAAUACGUUCUUCCUUCGGGACACAGAGACAGGUGGUGCAUGGUUGUCGUCAGCUCGUGUCGUGAGAUGUUGGGUUAAGUCCCGCAACGAGCGCAACCCUUAUGGUCAGUUACUACGCAAGAGGACUCUGGCCAGACUGCCGUUGACAAAACGGAGUAAGGUGGGGAUGACGUCAAAUCAUCAUGCCCUUUAUGACUUGGGCUACACACGUACUACAAUGGCGUUAAACAAAGAGAAGCAAGACCGCGAGGUGGAGCAAAACUCAGAAACAACGUCCCAGUUCGGACUGCAGGCUGCAACUCGCCUGCACGAAGUCGGAAUUGCUAGUAAUCGUGGAUCAGCAUGCCACGGUGAAUACGUUCCCGGGCCUUGUACACACCGCCCGUCGCACCAUGAGAGCCGGGGGGACCCGAAGUCGGUAGUCUAACCGCAAGGAGGACGCCGCCGAAGGUAAAACUGGUGAUUGGGGUGAAGUCGUAACAAGGUAGCCGUAGGAGAACCUGCGGCUG
rnacentral:rRNA from 1 species